rnacentral:rRNA from 1 species
UACGAACCGUGCGAACGUUAUUCGGAAUCACUGGGCUUAAAGCGCACGUAGGCGGCUUACUAAGUCAGGGGUGAAAUCCUGGAGCUCAACUCCAGAACUGCCUUUGAUACUGGUAAGCUCGAGUCCGGGAGAGGUGAGUGGAACUGCGAGUGUAGAGGUGAAAUUCGUAGAUAUUCGCAAGAACACCAGUGGCGAAGGCGGCUCACUGGCCCGGUACUGACGCUGAGGUGCGAAAGCGUGGGGAGCAAACAGG